rnacentral:rRNA from 1 species
AAUCCGUAGGUGGCAAGCGUUGUCCGGAAUUAUUGGGCGUAAAGCGCAUGUAGGCGGUUUGGGAAGUCGGUCGUGAAAAUGCGGUGCUUACAGCCGUAUGGCGAUUGAAACUGCUGAACUUGAGUGCAGGAGAGGAAAGGGGAACUCCCAGGGUAGCGGCGAAAUGCGUAGAUAUUGGGAAGAACACCGGUGGCGAAGGCGCCUUUCUGGACUGUGUCUGACGCUCAGAUGCGAAAGCCAGGGUAGCGAACGGGAUUAGAUACCCCGGUAGUCCUGGCCGUAAACGAUGGGUACUAGGUGUGGGAGGUAUCGACUCCUUCCGUGCCGGAGUUAACGCAAUAAGUACCCCGCCUGGGGAGUACGGCCGCAAGGCUUAAACUCAAAUGAAUUGGCGGGG